AAGGCCGGUACUUUGGUAAAAUACCCAUGAAACAUUGGGAAAAGGCCGAAAGAGAUGGAGUUUUCGGCGCGACUGUCGAUCCGGUGGUUGCGGGUUCGAUUCCCGUCGGCC
rnacentral:tRNA from 1 species